CUCCCCUGGAAUGGGCCAAGAGUCACCUUGUUGGUGGUGUUGCUCUUAUAUUAGUCAGGGGCAGAGCAGAGGGCAGUCCUUUGUUUGCCCUAGCUUGAUUCCUGGCUUAGUGCCUAAAGCUGUGUGUGUGUGUGAGAUAUAUAU